rnacentral:rRNA from 1 species
AUGGGUUGGUGUAACUUUUCGUUUCGUCCACUUAUGUGUACUUUGUUUGUGCUCUGGACUAAUUCCUGUUUGAAAGAGCACCAGGUUUGUAGUAUCUUAUUAUCCACAAAAUUAGAGAUUGGCAUUGGCCUUCCUAGUCUUUCCACGCGGCAGUCCAUUUGGUAUCCUCUUUCAAACAACUUUGUUCCUGUACGAACCAUGCCUGCGUUCAUGUUCCCUUUGAUUCUUCCAAACAUGGAGAGCGCCAUAUAUACAUGGAUGAAAGUCAGUUCCAAACUUGUCAUCGUCAAUGAGUUUUAG